GUAAGGACAAUGCCAGGGAAGAGAGCAAACACAAAGGCAUGCACAGGUGAGGAAGCACGGCCUGGGUAGAAGAUGCCAUGUACCUUGACAUGCUGGCAAAACAAAGAACUCAAAAGCUGGCCCAGGGUCAGCAAUGAUGUUGGUUUCUGCAGAAGCCCGGGGAAAAGGAAAGGUUCCUCAGCUAAUGCAGUGACAAGGGGAUUAACUUGAAAAAUGGAAGAUAAAGGUAACUUAGAGAAGAAUGGACUUUGGAUAUGGAAUUGCCCCCAGCUGAACCUGGCUAGCAAUUCUUGGUGUUUCUGUUUGAAGAGAGGAGCAAAGCAGAAGAUCAGAUCAGACAUCGCUGGAACAAAGGUUAUGAUGACGUCCCAGAUGAACUCUAAGGUCUUUUCUGAUCUGAACUUCUGUAAAUUUAUAUUUUCAAAUCCUCUCCAAAAAAACAGAAAACUUCAAGUUUAAGGAGUUGUGUAAUAACUGUGAGGCACAAGGUAGGAUAAAGAAAACAUUAAGAACAACAGCACCAACAAAUCAAUCUUGCUCACCUGUUCUUAAGAAAUUAGACACUUUCUAUUUAAAAGUAAUGAAAAAUACGUUUAAA